AGAACGAUCGGAUUGGUUGGAUGAGGAAGCAGAGCGCUCUGGUUGGCUGUCCGAGAAUCAUUAAACACCCACACUGUCAAUAGUGAGACUCACAUGGUGGGUAUAUAGGCAGGUGUGUUUUAGCUUGAUGCAACAGACUCAAAAUUUCAUCAAGUUGACAUAUCCCCUCUAUUUUGGAACGACUCUUUUCUACUCUCUGUUGCACGAAGCCUAACAUCUUAAGGGGACCAUGGUCAUGUUGAAGAUCUCCGCUUUCCUUGUUGCCUACGCUCUGCUUAUUUGCCAGAUGUACAGCUCUAAUGCAUCUCCUGCCAGGCCUGCACUGGAAUCCACACAAGAUCGAGCGACACUCACCGACUACGAAGCGAGGCGGUUGCUUAAUGCGAUUGUCAAAGAAUUCGUGCAAAUGACUGCAGAGGACAUGGAGCAACAAGCUUCUGAAGAAAACAGUGUUACGACGCAGAAGCGAGCUUGUAACACAGCCACGUGUGUGACCCAUCGCCUGGCAGAUUUUCUGAGCCGCUCCGGGGGUAUCGGAAGCAGCAAAUUUGUCCCCACUAAUGUGGGCUCGCAGGCGUUCGGCAGACGGAGGAGGCUCAGUCAGGAGUAGACCACUGACAACGGACCCUCGGUUACGGUGUAUGCACAGUAUUCUAAAAACCUUUUCAGGUCUCCGCAAUUCUUCUUUGAUCACAGUCAACGAAAGAGAAAACCAUCAUGUCCACCUCAAGAACCCUGGGAAUGGAAACGCCUCACUUUCAUCCGAAUGGACUCCGGUUGAUAGCACUGUUUGUUUCCAUCCUGCCAGACAUUCAAACUGCUUAUUUAUUUGCUCUUCCACAAAGCAAUGAAAAUGUAAAAAAAAGAAAGAAAAGAGAGGUGAUCGGUAGUCAUACUCAUUUUUUGACUCAUCCUGCUCCGAGGAAGAGCAUUGCUUCAUUAUUUCCUCUCUGCAGAGAGCACAUUCAGUUAGUAUGUACAGUAUGGUUUGGCCCAUGUUCCUCUAAUGUGUCUCAGCCCAUUUCAGUAUUUUGGGGAUCACAUUAAAGCAGUGCCUCAUAAAAAGGCUUCCCUGAAUAUGGACGUGUCUUGUGCCUUGAUGUAACACACUUUACAUGCCGCUGUUGUACAGUAUGUUUGAGGAGGGAGAGGUACUACCACUGAAUUACAAAUUGUAACAAUUGUGAAUUUGAGCAAGAUUAAAAUGUAUUUUAGAUACAUAAGGUUUGGGGUACUUGAUUUAUUGAUUGACUGGUUGUUUUAGUAAUUGGUCUGCGUAGUCUUAUACACAUUCCCCCGUCACACCACUUUCUGCACUUUGCGUUUUUAAUACAAUCAUAAUAAAAAUGAACAGAA